GAGUUUGAUCAUGGCUCAGAUUGAACGCUGGCGGCAGGCCUAACACAUGCAAGUCGAGCGGUAGCACAAGAGAGCUUGCUCUCUGGGUGACGAGCGGCGGACGGGUGAGUAAUGUCUGGGAAACUGCCUGAUGGCGGGGGAUAACUAGUGGAAACGGUAGCUAAUACCGCAUAACGUCGCAAGACCAAAGUGGGGGACCUUCGGGCCUCACGCCAUCAGAUGUGCCCAGGUGGGAUUAGCUGGUAGGUGGGGUAACGGCUCACCUAGGCGACGAUCCCUAGCUGGUCUGAGAGGAUGACCAGCCACACUGGAACUGAGACACGGUCCAGACUCCUACGGGAGGCAGCAGUGGGGAAUAUUGCACAAUGGGCGCAAGCCUGAUGCAGCCAUGCCGCGUGUGUGAA
rnacentral:rRNA from 1 species